rnacentral:rRNA from 1 species
CCUACGGGAGGCAGCAGUGAGGAAUAUUGGACAAUGGGCGAGAGCCUGAUCCAGCCAUGCCGCGUGCAGGAAGACUGCCCUAUGGGUUGUAAACUGCUUUUAUACAGGAAGAAACACUCCCUCGUGAGGGAGCUUGACGGUACUGUAAGAAUAAGGAUCGGCUAACUCC